CGGAGCGGGUAAAGCCGCUCUGAGAGCCCGUCCGUGAGGGCCGAGAGCAGCGAGGGAAGGGCAGAGCAGCUCCCGGAGCCCGUGAGGGGCGGGCGCGGCCCUGGCUGGGGAGCUCCCGGGCACGGAGCUGCUGCAGCGCUGGAGCCGGGCUGGGAGCGCUGGGGGUGCUCACCUGGAGAGGAGAAGGCUCCAGGGAGAGCUCAGAGCCCUGCCAGGGCCUGAAGAGGCUCCAGGAGAGCUGGAGAGGGACUGGGGACCAAGUGCUGUCCCAUGGCAGCUGCCCCAGCAGAGAGCUCCAGGAGCCACAGGAAGGGGCUGGAGUGGAGCCAGAGUCACAGCAGCUCUGCCUUGGACUAUUCAGGAGACACCUUUGAGUCCUUCAGCGAGGAGGAGAGUGAAGCACCUGGAUCCUGGUGUUCCACAGAGGAUUUGGAGGGGCCAGCUGUGUCAGAGGCUUUGGAAAGCUCAUCAUCACUGGCAGGCCAGAGUGCUGUAGAGGAGGAGUUUGAAGCAGUGGAUCCUGCAGCUGCGGAAAGAGCUGCCAUAGGAAAAUGGAUUGAUGCCAUGGGAAAAUGGAUUGAUCUGAACAAUAAAGACACUGCGAUUAGGCCAGACAAAUCUGUCAUCAGAACUCCUGCUGGAGCUGCUGAGGUCUCCCAGGGAGAGCUGGGUGCUCUCAGGUGUUUCUGCAGCAGGAGGAUCAGCAGGAUGCAGCGGCAGCAGGCACAGAAGGGCAGGAUGCUGCACUGGGGAGGCCCAGCAAGGCAAACUGAGACAGGAGAUUCCUGUGCUGUUCCUGCCCCGCUGAUGAACAGGAUCCUGCUGGAAAACACCAGGGAGGCUGUGAAACAGGUGACAGAAGCUGAAAUCCAUGAGGUUUCAACCUGUCCUGACUGCCAGCAGAAGGAAGCAGAGCUGGCCAAGGUUGCCUUUCUCAGGCAAAAAAAGACUCUGCUGGAAGGUGCUUUAAUCCAAGAGAAAUUGGAAGAACAGUUUUACUCCAGGGACAUGCUCACACUUCUAGGAGAAGCACUCAGAAGCUUUCCCAAACCUUCAGAAGAUCCCAGGGAUUUGUGGCAAAGGCUGAAGGGUCAGGAGUGGAAAGACUGAAUGAACCACAACUCCAGUGGGUGAAGAACUGGGAGAGCCUCCUGUGGGCAGUCAGCUCCAGAAUCCCAACGAUUUUGGAUCUGAGCUGCUCUGGCAGUGAUGGAUUGGGUGCUGCUUUAAUAUUCCUGCAGGUGGAACCAGAUCUGCCUGGCUGGGGUAACACAGAAGCUUUCUAGAGCCGCUGAAAUUCCUUUGCAGCUGCUGUCAGCCUUCCUGUAAAUCCUGAACUGUGAGUUAUUUGGGUUAUGUGUCUGACAGUGUUUGUCUGUGGAACAGCAGCCUGCUCACACGCAGUGCCUGCACAGCUCUUGUUUGUUUGCAUAAAUGUUACAAACAGAACUCAGGUAACUCCUCAGGAAAAUCAAAGCAGAUUUUGCUGAUGGCUGUUGGAUGCAUUUUCCUGCUGCUCACUACACUUAUUUCAUUCUUUUAUCAGCAGUGACUCUGAGAUCUCAGUGUUUUCUUUAGCAGCUCUUAGAGAUAUGCAAUGGAAUGAAUGAUCUGAUCCCCUAAAUAAUUGAUUUUCUAAUCCUGCAUUUUUUGAGGCUGGAGAUUCAAAACUUUGCUGGGGAAGAUGUGGAAAAGAGGGUGGGUGAUGUAUCCUCCUUUUUCUCCUUCCAGGAGCUCCUCCCUUCAGCAGGAGAUUUUUCUUUUGAUCCAAAGAAACCUCAAAACUCUGGUCAAGGAAUAUUGGCUCAUCUGCUGCCUGGUUUGUGCUUGCUGGGGCAUAACAGGAGCAGGGUGGCUCAAGAGGGAUUCCUUGGGAAAAACAACUGUGGCUGUGAAACAAAUCAAUCUGCCUCUUCAAAGGGCUCUGCUUGCCUUUGAGGCUUUCAUGGCACCCAGAGCUGGAUGAUUUAAUCUUCUGGAUGAUUGCUGAUGUGGUGGGGUUCACUGCUCUGAGUGAGCUCUGUGCUAACAAAGACAGUUUGUCCCAUCUCAGUUGUUUCAUGCUCUGUGUAUGCUGAUAUCCACUUCUGGGGUGUUGGAUUUUAUAACUGACCCUUUGGAGAAACUUGCAUUCCUCACAUUAUCAUUAAAAUCAGUUUCCCAUGGACUGCAGCACUGUAACUUUCCCUUUCAUUUGCUCUAGCUUUAUAAAAACCACCCUGCACUCCAGGCUCCCUCAUUCCUUGUCUCCUCUCCAGCCAUCUCUUCUGCUCUGGGAAUUUGUAUCUCUAGAAAAACUUCCAUCUCAGUCCCAGCAGGCUGCUAGCCCAGCUCUGAGUGGGAAUGAAGUUUUAGUGUCAUUAACUCCCUGGAUAUGAGCUGGCAACAAAGCUGAACAUUCACAGAGGGCCUGUUCUGGUGGAAGGUGGCCCUGCCCAUGGCAGGGGUGGCACUGGAUGAGCUUUAAGGGCCUUUCCAACCCAAACCAUUCCACAAUUCUGGGAUAUUUGAAUUCGGAUUUCUGGCUACUGAGGAAAUCCUUUGUGGUCCCACUGGUCCAGUGGAGGAUCAUCGAAGAGUUUGAGUUGGAAGAGACCUUCCAAAGGCCACCUAACCCCCUGCCAUGGCAGGGACACCUCCCACUAUUCCAGGGUGAUCUGACCUGGCUUUGGACACUUUCAGGGAUCCAGAGGCAGCCACAGCUUCUCUGGGAAUUCUGUUACAGGGCCCACCCUCAGUGUAAAAAGUGUAAAAACCUUCUUGUGUCUGGGCUAAACCACCCCUCCUGCAGGUAAAACCAUUCUCCCUUGUCCUGAGGGCACAGGGCCUGCUCGGAGCUGUGCCCCAUCUUUCCUGCAGGCCCCCUUCAGCUACAGGAAUGUUCCCUGGAGCCUUCCCUUCUUCAUCUGAACACUCCCAGUGCUCAGGUUUUCCUCAGGCGCGAGGGGCUCCAGCCCUCAGAGCACCUUUGUGGCCUCCUUCCAUUAGUCCUGAACCUUUUCUCUGAAGUUACAGGAACAUCUGCCAUGCUCCAGGCUCCUCUG